CCCUUAGAUGUCCUGGGCCGCACGCGCGCUACACUGACAUGUUCAACAAGCCUCCUAGUUCGACAGGGUUUGGGAAAUCUUUGAACGCAUGUCGUGAUAGGGAUAGAUCAUUGCAAUUAUUGAUCUUGAACGAGGAAUUCCUAGUAAACGCGAGUCAUCAGCUCGCAUUGAUUACGUCCCUGCCCUUUGUACACACCGCCCGUCGCACCUACCGAUUGAAUGUUUCGGUGAAGAUUCCGGAUAGGACUUUUUUGAUUUAUUUCAAUUUUGUCUUAAAAGCUAUCUAAACCUCAACAUUUAGAGGAAGGUGAAGUCGUAACA
rnacentral:rRNA from 1 species